rnacentral:rRNA from 1 species
GCUAAUACCGCAUAUUCUCUCAGGAGGAAAGUAGGGGAUCGAAAGACCUUAUGCUUUAAGAGCGGCCGAUGUCUGAUUAGCUAGUUGGUAAGGUAAUGGCUUACCAAGGCGACGAUCAGUAGUUGGUCUGAGAGGACGACCAGCCACACUGGGACUGAGACACGGCCCAGACUCCUACGGGAGGCAGCAGUGGGGAAUUUUGGACAAUGGGCGCAAGCCUGAUCCAGCAAUGCCGCGUGAGUGAAGAAGGCCUUCGGGUUGUAAAGCUCUUUCAGUUGAGAAGAAAAGAUUGUGACUAAUAAUUGCAAUUCAUGACGGUAUCAACAGAAGAAGCACCGGCUAACUACGUGCCAGCAGCCGCGGUAAUACGUAGGGUGCGAGCGUUAAUCGGAAUUACUGGGCGUAAAGGGUGCGCAGGCGGUUCUGUAAGUCAGAUGUGAAAUCCCCGGGCUUAACCUGGGAACUGCGUUUGAAACUA